GAUGAACGCUGGCGGCGUGCCUAAUACAUGCAAGUCGAGCGAACAGACGAGAAGCUUGCUCCUCUGACGUUAGCGGCGGACGGGUGAGUACCACGUGGAGAACAUCCCUAUAAGACUGGGAUAACUUCGUGAAACCGGCGCUAAUACCGCAUAAUAUAUUGCACCUAAUGUUUUAAUAGUGCAAGACGGUUUUACUAUCACUUAUAGAUGGAUCCGCGCCGCAUUAUCUAGUUGGUAAGUUAACGGCUUACCAACGUAACAAUGCGUCGCCGACCUGAGGGGGUGGUCGGCCACACUGGAAGUGAGACACGGUCGAGACUCCUAAGCGAGGCAGCAGUAGGGAAUCUUACGCAAUGGGCGAAAGCCUGAUGGAGCAAAGCCGCGUGAGCGAUGAAGGUCCUCGGAUCGGAAAACGCUGUUAUUAGGGAAGAACAAAUGUGUAAGUAACUAUGCACGUCUUGACGGUACCUAAUCAGAAAGCCACGGCUAACUACGUG
rnacentral:rRNA from 1 species